UUGACCUCGGAUCAGGUAGGGAUACCCGCUGAACUUAAGCAUAUCAAUAAGCGGAGGAAAAGAAACCAACCGGGAUUGCCUCAGUAACGGCGAGUGAAGCGGCAAGAGCUCAAAUUUGAAAGCUGGCUCCUUCGGAGUCCGCAUUGUAAUUUGCAGAGGAUGCUUUGGGUGCGGCCCCCGUCUAAGUGCCCUGGAACGGGCCGUCAGAGAGGGUGAGAAUCCCGUCUUGGGCGGGGUGUCCGUGCCCGUGUAAAGCUCCUUCGACGAGUCGAGUUGUUUGGGAAUGCAGCUCUAAAUGGGUGGUAAAUUUCAUCUAAAGCUAAAUACUGGCCGGAGACCGAUAGCGCACAAGUAGAGUGAUCGAAAGAUGAAAAGCACUUUGAAAAGAGAGUUAAACAGCACGUGAAAUUGUUGAAAGGGAAGCGCUUGCGACCAGACUCGCCCGCGGGGUUCAGCCGGCAUUCGUGCCGGUGUACUUCCCCGUGGGCGGGCCAGCGUCGGUUUGGGCGGCCGGUCAAAGGCCCCUGGAAUGUAGUGCCCUCCGGGGCACCUUAUAGCCAGGGGUGCAAUGCGGCCAGCCUGGACCGAGGAACGCGCUUCGGCACGGACGCUGGCAUAAUGGUC
rnacentral:rRNA from 1 species